GACAUUUUCUCUCUUAGCUCAGUCAUCAAUUAAAAAUCUGACAAUGAAUCUUGGAAAAUGUGAACAAAGGCAUUUUAUGACUUACCUCAAUAAAAGUCUGGCAGGCUGCAGUUCUUCCUUGCUGCUGUUAAUUGUCUUCCUCACAGUGCCUGCUGCUGGCUUUUAAUGUCCAACACCUGAGGGAGAUAGAGUGAAAUCUUGUCAGGACAGAGAUGGAGAAAUGAAGUUCAGUGUGAAGUUGUCAAGCUUGUCUGGCAAGAUGCAAACCCAAAUUUCUCACCUGAUUGCUCUUCUCUGCCUACAGGGUAAAUGUUCCAAAUGAUGCACAGGAGGAGUCAUUCAUGAGAGUCUACUGAAAAUAAGACUGAAGAGUGAAUGCAGAGUAGGAAGCCAUGCUUAAGUGAAGAGCUCUCAGCUGUCUUCCUCUCCAUCUGAGGUUAUGAAAGCAGACAGGAUAUUUCCUCACACUGAAGGACAUUUCUGUUGAACGCAUAUCCAACAUCAUGUAGAAUUUUUCUUAUCACGGCACAGUAACAAUCCCUAGAAAGAGGAAUAUGCCCCCCAGGCCUCAUAAUAUCAUCUUUUAUUAGAAAUAAGAACAAAGGAUGCAAUUAAAACACAAAUUUUUCACAUCCCAAUGGUCUGGAAGUUGCUUGGCAGCACCCUGGUGGUUCCCCCUUUGAAGAAACAUCACGGAUGCAGCAGCUUGGGAAGGGUAGCACCACCAUAAUGGGAAUGGGAAUGUGGCUAAAGAGGUACACGUACACAGCUGGGGAAAAGAGGAACAAAUGUUUUAAGGAAAUUAUCUCUAUUUGGAGCCUUUUAGGUUUUGCAUUGGGCAGGAACAGGAUAGAUUUGCCUGUGUCUCUCCACUCUCUGGGCUGUAACCUUGCUGGAGCUGAGGCUCUGUGCAGCCCCUGGAUGAACACAGUCCUGGACUUUAGAGUACUGAUUAAAAAUUAUCUUCCCUUUGAUUUGAAACCCCCUUCACGUAUAAGUCAAUAUGAACAUUUUCUACUAGUUUUGCUUUUUAAAAAUUAUUUGUCAAGUUCUUAAGAGAAAAACAGCCACCUCCUGGGUUGUGCUUGCCCAAAAAUAUUCAGACAAAGAACCAAGCCAUUUCUGGUAUUUGCAACUCCAAGAGAUCAGUAAUACCAUGGUCUGGAACACUACUGAUAAAUCAUUACCCUGUAAUGUUGCAAGUAUUAUUUUAUUUCAAGUUUGUCAGGGUUGGCAGCCU